rnacentral:Y_RNA from 1 species
GGCUGGUCUGAGUGCAGUGGUGUUUACAACUAAUUGAUCACAACCGGUUAUAGAUUCCUUUGUUCUUUCUCCACUCCCACUGCUUCACUUGACCAGCCUUAA